ACUCAACCGUCUCUCUCGAGCCUACAAAAAAAUUCCAGAAAAAAUUGACCAAUCAGAACAUUUAACCACGUCACUUAAGCAAUCGCUUUUUUCAUCUCGCUUCGUCUUCGUCUCCUUAAGCUAUCAGUUCCUUUUCCCCAAUACCUUUUUCAGUUACACAGAUUCUAUCAUAUCCUAUCUAUAAAUUGCAUCAUUUCACUUCGUCUUCUUCCAAACUUUGCUUCUCUCUCGCCUAAUUAUGGGGUUAGACUGGGAGAUAGAAUCAUUUUGAUGCUCUUUUUACUGCUGAAUCUCGUGCUCUGUCUGGAAAGUAAGGAUCCAUUCUGCAAAAGCAUCUCCAGUCAUGCACAUCACCGACCUUACUGUGAAUCAGGAGAAUUCCGGCUGUUGUGGAAUAUGUACUCAGUGGACAUCAGCUUCAUAUCCAAAAGUUAACAUGUACCGUUGCAUUUGCAAUCUCUGGUAUCAGAUUCCUAACCAUGGAGAACCUUUUUCAGAUGAAGCUAUAUAUCUAUGUAAUAAGACGCAAGAUCAUGCAGAGAGAUGUAGAGAUUGAAGUUGAAACCGUGGAUUGAAUCGGUAUGUUCCACAGAUCAAUGUGGGAGUUGAAGCACAUAUUCUUGAACAGGCAUAGAGAUAGGCUACAUAUGUCUUUAGUUAAAGAUUAUCCUCUGUUUUAAAGCGUUACUUGCUAAACGUUUUUUGAUCUUUUACAGAUGUGGGAGAAUUAUGUUUUUUUUUUUGAAAAGGGGCUUAAGAAUUAUGUUAAAGGACAAGAAGUAUCAAACCGGAAGUACAACCGUAGAAACCAGAAAAAAUGAGACAUUUGUGAAUAUCUCUUUAGCACUACUCAAAUAGUUUUUAUAUAUGAAUAUCUCAUUUUAGUUUUGUAAGGAAGACAUAAUAAACAGAGGGUCUGAAACAGAUGUUAUUACUUGCGUCCA